rnacentral:rRNA from 1 species
AUGAACGCUGACAGAAUGCUUAACACAUGCAAGUCUUUGGCGAAGCUGUGCCUGCACAGCCUAGCCAAGGCGGACGGGUGAGUAACGCGUAAGGAACUUGCCCUGCAGUCAGGGAUAACAGACGGAAACGACUGAUAAGACCUGGUAAAGUCAGGCGGACUCAUGUCCAGCCUGAUGAAAAGAGAUGCUGCAGGAGAGCCUUGCGUCCUAUUAGCUUGUUGGUGGGGUAACGGCCCACCAAGGCGAUGAUAGGUAGCCGGCCUGAGAGGGUGGACGGCCACAAGGGGACUGAGAUACGGCCCUUACUCCUACGGGAGGCAGCAGUGGGGAAUAUUGGACAAUGGGGGCAACCCUGAUCCAGCAAUUCUGUGUGCACGAUGAAGGUUUUCGGAUUGUAAAGUGCUUUCAGCAGGGAAGAAAAAAUGACGGUACCUGCAGAAGAAGCGACGGCUAAAUACGUG